rnacentral:rRNA from 1 species
AUUUGCCUUUUAAUUAAAGGCUAGUAUGAAUGGACACACGUAAGCUAAGCUGUCUCAUUAACAACCAUAAAAAUUAACCUUUGGGUGAAGAGACCCAAAUUAUAUAAAAAGACGAAAAGACCCUAUGGAGCUUUACUUAAAUAGAAAACCUAAUAAAUUACAUAAAAAAAAACUUCUUUAUAAAGUUUAGUUGGGGCGACUAAGGAGCACAAAAAAUCCUCCUUUUAAUAAAAGAAAAUAACUCUUCUACAGAUCCACCUAAGUGAAUAUAAAACCAGCUACCCUAGGGAUAACAGGCUAAUCCUCCUCGAGAGCCCAAAUUGACAGGAGGGGUUGGCACCUCGAUGUUGGCUUAAGGUUCCUUCAAAGUGCAGCAGCUUUGAGAGUAGGUUUGUUCACCCUUUAAAACCUU